rnacentral:misc_RNA from 1 species
AAGAAAAUAUAUGAAUGAAAUGCCAAAUUGUAAUUUCAUUUUACAUAAUAAUAAGUUCACUUUGCAUGGACUCCUCAUUUUCUCUAAAUGUUCUUUUCAUUCAUCUUGGCAAGGCUACAAUUGAGCAUGCUGAGUUAUAAAUAUUACUUAAGGGACUAAGACUAACAUGGUCUGUGGCACUGAGGAAACUAAUAGUUGAAUGUGAUAACUCUAAUUCUUUUGUUGUUCAGUUCAUUAACAAAGCUCGUGAUGAAUCGGUUAGCACUCGCCCUCUUUUGCAGG